UACGAAGGGGGCUAGCGUUGCUCGGAAUCACUGGGCGUAAAGCGCACGUAGGCGGAUUGCUAAGUCAGGGGUGAAAUCCUGGGGCUCAACUCCAGAACUGCCUUUGAUACUGGCGAUCUCGAGUCCGGGAGAGGUGAGUGGAACUGCGAGUGUAGAGGUGAAAUUCGUAGAUAUUCGCAAGAACACCAGUGGCGAAGGCGGCUCACUGGCCCGGUACUGACGCUGAGGUGCGAAAGCGUGGGGAGCAAACAGG
rnacentral:rRNA from 1 species